rnacentral:rRNA from 1 species
AUUGAACGCUGGCGGCAGGCCUAACACAUGCAAGUCGAGCGAGCGGCGGACGGGUGAGUAAUGUCUGGGAAACUGCCUGAUGGAGGGGGAUAACAACUGGAAACGGUAGCUAAUACCGCAUACCAUCAGAUGUGCCCAGCUGGGAUUGGCUAGUAGGUGGGGUAACGGCUCACCUAGGCGACGAGCCCUACCUGGUCUGAGAGGAGGACCAGCCAAGCUGGAACGGGAAAACGGUCGGGACUCUGACGGAGGGCAGAAGGGGCGGAUAUUGCCCAGUGGGAGCAAGCCGGAUGCAGCCAUACCGCGUGUGUGAAGGAGGCCUUGGGGUUGUAAGGCACUUUAAGCGGGGAGGCGUUACCCGCAGAAGAAGCACCGGCUAACUCCGUGCCAGCAGCCGCGGUAAUAC